ACUCCUACGGGAGGCAGCAGUGGGAAUAUUGCGCAAUGGGCGAAAGCCUGACGCAGCGACGCCGUGUGAGUGAUGAAGGCCCUCGGGUCGUAAAGCUCUGUCAGGGGGGACGGAAACCAUCCACGAGUUAAUAUCUCGUGGACUUGACGGUACCUCCAAAGGAAGCACCGGCUAACUCCGUGCCAGCAGCCGCGGUAAUACGGAGGGUGCGAGCGUUGUUCGGAAUUACUGGGCGUAAAGCGCGUGUAGGCGGCUUUUUAAGUCUGGUGUGAAAUCCCGGGGCUCACCCCGC
rnacentral:rRNA from 1 species